AGAAAUGUUUUCAAGCUAAGACUUGUUUACAUGACGGAAAAGAGAAAUGCGGACAAAAUAAAAAUGGCGAGUUACGUCAGUUUCUAGAUGCUUGUGAUAUGAAGGAGUACAAUUGCUUGAGAGGAACUGAUUAUUCUAUAAUACAUCUGAAACUGUGUCAAGAUUUACCUUCUAUUCCACCUCCUUCGAAGGAAGAAAAAGAAGAUGUUGAAAAUAAAGAGAAGUCAGAAGAAGUAGAAGACGAAUCACAGGAUGAAAUACAACCUCGAGAAAAUUGAAACCACACAUAUUUAAUUAUUUAUUAAAUCAAUAUAUAAGUGUAUUUUAA